rnacentral:rRNA from 1 species
UACGAAGGGGGCUAGCGUUGCUCGGAAUUACUGGGCGUAAAGCGCACGUAGGCGGAUUGUUAAGUCGGGGGUGAAAUCCUGGAGCUCAACUCCAGAACUGCCUUCGAUACUGGCGAUCUCGAGUUCGGGAGAGGUGAGUGGAACUGCGAGUGUAGAGGUGAAAUUCGUAGAUAUUGGGAAGAACACCAGUGGCGAAGGCGGCUCACUGGUCCGGUACUGACGCUGAGGUGCGAAAGCGUGGGGAGCAAACAGG